rnacentral:rRNA from 1 species
GAUGAACGCUGGCGGCGUGCCUAAUACAUGCAAGUCGAGCGAACGGACGAGAAGCUUGCUUCUCUGAUGUUAGCGGCGGACGGGUGAGUAACACGUGGAUAACCUACCUAUAAGACUGGGAUAACUUCGGGAAACCGUAGCUAAUACCGGAUAAUAUUUUGAACCGCAUGGUUCAAAAGUGAAAGACGGUCUUGCUGUCACUUAUAGAUGGAUCCGCGCUGCAUUAGCUAGUUGGUAAGGUAACGGCUUACCAAGGCAACGAUACAUAGCCGACCUGAGAGGGUGAUCGGCCACACUGGAACUGAGACACGGUCCAGACUCCUACGGGAGGCAGCAGUAGGGAAUCUUCCGCAAAGGGCGAAAGCCUGACGGAGCAACGCCGCGUGAGUGAUGAAGGUCUUCGGAUCGUAAAACUCUGUUAUUAGGGAAGAACAUAUGUGUAAGUAACUGUGCACAUCUUGACGGUACCUAAUCAGAAAGCCACGGCUAACUACGUG